GAACAAAUACUGUCGGAAUCACCUAGCUCCUCUGGAUCCAGCAGGGCAAUGAGUCGCACAGAGCCAGAGAGCAGGCAAGGGUUUGCGACUUACAGGACGAGCAGAAGAGAUUGGAGGCCUCCCAGUUACCAGUGCUUGUUGAUAUUUGAAGUGAUUAUUUUUUGAAACAGCCGGGGAAGGUGAUAAUGACCAUUUCUAAAAUGAUUACGGAGACCAACACUUUGGCACGGAGAAAGUUGGAGAGAAAGCUGAAGACUGAA
rnacentral:lncRNA from 1 species